rnacentral:rRNA from 1 species
GACGAACGCUGGCGGCGUGCUUAACACAUGCAAGUCGAACGGAAAGGCCCUGCUUUUGUGGGGUGCUCGAGUGGCGAACGGGUGAGUAACACGUGAGUAACCUGCCCUUGACUUUGGGAUAACUUCAGGAAACUGGGGCUAAUACCGGAUAGGAGCUCCUGCUGCAUGGUGGGGGUUGGAAAGUUUCGGCGGUUGGGGAUGGACUCGCGGCUUAUCAGCUUGUUGGUGGGGUAGUGGCUUACCAAGGCUUUGACGGGUAGCCGGCCUGAGAGGGUGACCGGCCACUUUGGUACGGAGCGCCGGCCCAGCCUCCUCGGGGGGGGAGAGGGGGGAAAUAUGGCACGAGGGGCGGAGCCCGGAGGCAGAAGCGCCGCGGGGGGGAGGAGGGCCUGGGGUUGUAACCCCUAUUCCCCCUGGGAAGAACGGGGGGUGACGUGAAGGGAAAAAGAAGCCCCGGCUAACUACGGG